rnacentral:tRNA from 1 species
CCGUCCUAGCCGAGUGGUGCAAGCGUCGUGCCUCCACCACGGGGAUCUUGGGUUCGAUCCCCAGAGCGCA